GCGUCUGCAGGCGGAGAUGCAGGUCAGCCCAGCCCCGGCCUCCUGACCCUCACUCCCUACCUCUGCCCAGGGGCCCAGGGGACUGGCUGAGGUGUGGGGACUCCGUUCUCCCUCCCAGGGGAGCCAGACCCCUGGAGGGGCCCAGGGCCGGGUGAUCCCUUCUGGGCCUCAGCUGCCACUUGGCAGCACGGACCUCACGCUGCUGACUGAAAAGCCUCCCUCCACCGUGAAGCUGUGUUCGGCUUCAUGAGCGAGAACAGGCACGGGCAGAAGGCCCUGGAGAGGGCGGUGCUGGGAGAAGCCCCCCCCCCACGUCCGUAUUCACAGAAGCUCUGGCAGUCUCGCCAGCAUCUCCGCCCCGCCUCACCCUCCUGGACCAGAGAGGGAUGAGAGGGGCCUUCCCGGGGUGGAGGUCCACCAACCUGAAGCUUGGGGUCAUGCCCCCCACACUCUCCUGCACUCAGCUCACAAGCUCUCAUCAUCACCUGCCACAGCCCUUAUGAAUCUCAGUAGACCGGGGCGGGCAGAGUCACCAGCUGAGGGGGCACAGGGUGGGAGUCUGGGUAGCUCCCCCUUGGUUCCUGUCCACGAUCUCCACAGAAGCCACCAGCCUGGGUCCUGAGCUCAGCCAGGCCCUGAGACGCCAUGAACACCUUCCAGGGGCUUCUUCCUGCUGCCCUGAAGCAGAGAAAAUGCCCAUCUAGGAGCCAGUCACCCAGUGCUGCCAUGUGUGAGAUGAAAGCCAAAAGGGUUCCAAUGGAGAUAACACACAAGCUGUCUGCAGGGCCCUCCUCCUCAGAGCAAAGAGGCUUGUCCCCGCUGCUUCCCCUCUGUCUGGCCCGGCUCCCCACCCCCUCACUGGACACCAGCCUUCCUGCUGAUCCCUGUGCCGGUCUCCACGGCCACCCUCCUUGUUCCUGAACUGUGCUGCUAGAGGGAGCUUCCUGCAACCCCCAGGGUGGCUCCUGCAGCCCCCAGGAUCAAGUCCAAAGGCCUGGACCUGCGUACCUCUCUGGCCUCCAACAUCACCAAGGCCUGGCCCACUCCCCAGCCUGCUCUGGGCCCAGCCUGGAGGCCCUCCACUACAGGACUGUCACAGUGCUGACUUUGGCUGCGUGAGUUGGGAGUUGCAUGAGGUGUGGGUAUCACCCACAGAAGGAAGGGGCCAGGUUUGGGAACCAUGCUUCUGAGGCAGUCUUUUGAAGGCCACGGCCAACUGUUAAGUGUCCACAUGCUGUGGAACUAGUAAGAGGGGUGCUUCUUUAUACAGGCAUGAGCAUAAGACUGAUGGCUUGCUGGCCAUGAAAUUGAAAACCUGUAUUUAGAAUACUGACCACUGACAUUGUCUAACUAUACUGUUAGGUUUCGUGGGAAAAGGGCUGAGACUAUCUCCCUGGUUUCAGAUAUUCUUAAUAAAAGGGCAUUUUACAACUCUUAA